rnacentral:sRNA from 1 species
AGAGGCCAAAAGCUCACAGCAGACAGACUCGGCGCCAAGCAUUGAAAGUCUCACGCCAGAGGAAGCCGAAGCUCGACUCAAAGCCAACAUUUGUCCAUUGUGGAAUACUGAUUAUUCUCAACAGUUGCAGAUCAAAGUGGAAAAAAUGAAGACAGUUUUGGAAGGCAUUUCAAAGCAUGAUUUUAUAAAGCACCUGUUUGAAGACAGAUCAAAGAAAAAGGGCAUGUGUGAGUUGCUUCCCAUAAUUCCUUCACCUGUCAUUACAGAAUAUCGUAAUAAAAAUGAGUUCAGCAUUGGGUUUGGACUGGAUGGAAAAAGUAAG